rnacentral:rRNA from 1 species
AGCAACGCCGCGUGAGGAUGAAGUAUUCGGUAUGUAAACUCGAAAGAAUAGGAAGAAUUAAUGACGGUACUAUUUAUAAGGUCCGGCUAACUACGUGCCAGCAGCCGCGGUAAUACUAGGGACCCAAGCGUUGUUCGGAUUUACUGGGCGUAAAGGGCGCGUAGGCGGCGCGGUAAGUCACUUGUGAAAUCUCUGAGCUUAACUCAGAACGGCCAAGUGAUACUGCAGUGCUAGAGUGUGGAAGGGGCAAUCGGAAUUCUUGGUGUAGCGGUGAAAUGCGUAGAUAUCAAGAGGAACACCUGAGGUGAAGACGGGUUGCUGGGCCAACACUGACGCUGAGGCGCGAAAGCCAGGGGAGCAAACGGGAUUAGAUACCCCGGUAGUCCUGGCCCUAAACGAUGAAUACUUGGUGUCUGGAGUUUUAAUGCUCCGGGUGCCGUCGCUAACGUUUUUAGUAUUCCGCCUGGGGAGUACGCUCGCAAGAGUG